AUAGCGUAUAUUAAAGUUGUUGCAGUUAAAAAGCUCGUAGUUGAACUUCAGAUUUGGUCGAGUGGUCCGCUUAACGGCGUGUUACUGCUUGACUGGGUCUUGUCUCUUGGUGAACCAUUGUGCCCUUUAUUGGAUGCUUUGGGGAACCAGGACUUUUACCUUGAGAAAAUUAGAGUGUUCAAAGCAGGCCUAUGCCUGGAUACAUUAGCAUGGAAUAAUAGAAUAGGACGUGUGGUUCUAUUUUGUUGGUUUCUAGAAUCGCCGUAAUGAUUAAUAGGGAUAGUUGGGGGCAUUGGUAUUCAGUCGCUAGAGGUGAAAUUCUUGGAUUGACUGAAGACCAACUAUUG
rnacentral:rRNA from 1 species